rnacentral:lncRNA from 1 species
GCUCCCUGAUGGGAGUAUUCAUGGUUAGAGUCUCAGUCUCUAUUACGGGCCCUAGUACACUUCAGGAACUCAAAAGCUUUGCUGAUAUAAUGCAAGGUGAUAAAAAAGUAGAAAGACUUGGGAUAAUCUUGAUUUCUGAAGGCAUCAAACGGGAAUUAGAGAAAGCAGCAGGAAAAACGAAGGCCUUUUUAAGUUCCAUGAGAACUACGGUUUGCAAGACUGGUCAAAACAGUACAAUGCAAGCGGCAAGAAUCAGGAAGUGCACAGAAACAAGAAGCUCGGUGCACACUGGGAUCAGGCAAGCAUCUGGGAGAAGACUGUAGCAAGACUGGAUCCUGAGAGUGUUUCAAUUGAAUAUUGCAACUGAAGACAUUCACUCUGCGUUGAUCACCUAUGGAGUGAUCAAAUUUCAACCCUUUGAAGUUUCCUAAAUUGCUGCUCUGGCCAAGUCACCUCGCUGAAAUCUCCACUUCCACUUGUGCAACCUACCAAGCCACUCUCUACACAGCUGCCAGAGUGAUUACAAAAACAACGCGGGAUUAUGCUACCCCUGCUUAUCUAAAAUUUGUCAAAAUGCCCGUUACACUUUGAAUAAAAUACAGAUUCCUCUCA